AAAUUCAACGGCCGCAGUACCCUGACUGUGCUAAGGUAGCGUAAUCAGUUGGCUUUUAAAUGGAGUCGAGAAUGAAUGGGUCCAUGGGGGGGCGCUGUCUCUAUUUUGUUAAGUAGAAUUUAUUUAAUAGGUGAAAAUCCCUAUUUUUCAGAAAAAAGACGAGAAGACCCUUAGAAUCUGUACAACCGUACACUAUGUGUACUUAGUUUUUGUUGGGGCGACAACGGGGCAGGAUGUAUUAACAGAUUUUGGUAUCUUUUAAACCCCCGAAUAUAGGAGUAACAAGACGAGUGUGCUAAGUAAGAUUAGAUUACCUGAGGGAUAACAGCAUAAUUUUUGUAAGCUUGUGACCUNGAUGUUGGACUAGGGACCUUACGACUAGCCGUCGAAG
rnacentral:rRNA from 1 species